rnacentral:misc_RNA from 1 species
AGCCUUUUCUUAACCCAAGCACUGUCACCGCCGACCUUGCAACACACCCUUACCAUGAGAAUAUGCGCUGCUCUGAAAGCACCUGCCAGUUACUCUAACGCCAGCUCGCUUGCCCCGUUGUUUUCUUUCAAUUUGAUCCUUGCACCGGCCACUCUCGUGCAAAUGCGACGGCCUACGCGCGCGCCUCUCACACCGCUGUGAGCUCUCGUCUCACUUCUCUCUUCUCCCUUUCUGUUUUCUCAGAGAGGACGAUCUUUGUGUGUGUGUGUGCGCGUGCUUUUUUACUCGCGUUGGUGACGUGCCAUUCUGCUGACGGGCAUCCUCUCGUGCCCGAAAAGGGAGGUGCGGAGAAGGAGCCCACGUUCGCCACAACACCAGCAGCUGAAUGACAAUCGAGUUUGUAAUUUGGAUGGAGAAGCAAGAGGGGAUGCGAUUUUCCCACUAACGUCACCUCAUCCUUCUAGUCACCCGCGCUGCUCUGGAAAGUGAAGCAGACCGCACAUGCCUGUGCUGACGUGAGGACGACCGCAACUUUCUGGAUCACCUUAACCACAGCGUCAUCUAAGGUCCAUACGCAUUCCUUUACUUUAUCCUUGGCGCUGACAGCGUUCUUUGCCAGAACGCUGUUGUCGGCUGCGAGGCUCAUCAAGAGAACGACCUGGCCAUCACGGGACUCAUUCAAGCAGCCGUCGAUCGUUUUGACACGUACUUUUGAAAGGACUUGCGAGCUGGAGGUCAUGUACCACCUCGAGAAGGCGUACCUCGUUGUCGAGGAAAUGCUCACUAAUGGUCUGGCUGUGGAGAUGAAAAAGCACAAUGCGCCGGAGCCAAUUUUUUUUCUUUUGUGAUGGGCUCCGAAAAUCUCGUCUCGCUGCUUUGACGGAGCAGGCUUAGACAACUGCUGCCUCGUCGUUCUAUUCCUAUUGGAGUACUUGGUGUGCUGGAACAUGUGCGGGUGUACGCGUGUCACCCUGUGCCUCUCCAUGGCGCAGUUGAUGUGUACUGCUGCUCUUCCUCUUGUUUCCCUUUGACUGCGUUAUGGAUGCGGCGCGUAGGCGUUGUGAGUGUCUCUAGUCAGGUAACUCCAGCCCCGCCAGAGGCAGAAAUUCGCAAAAAUUGCACGCUACAAAAGAAUACGGUGCGAUAACGUAGCGCUGCGUUUCGCACCACCAUCUUCUGCCGUGUCUGCUGUUGUGAUUUCUAUUAGCAAAAACGAGCUGGCUUGCGAUGAGUCAUUUUAUUCUGCUUUGUGGAGGCCGCCUCUUGGCAAGAAAGACGAGGUAGGUGACACACGUCGCUUUACGUGCGGUUUCGUGCAGCGCAACAGCUCUUCUCAGCAAGGAACUUUUAUCAUUGAAUCGCCCUUUCGCCUCCUUUAUCCUGCCUUCAAGU